GCCCGCUUGGCUCAGCGGUAGAGCGCAUCACUAGUACCCCUGCAAUAGCAACGCUAUGAUGAGGUCGUCGGUUCGACUCCGUCAGUGGGCA